CAGCCGCCACGGUAAUACAGAGGAUGCAAGCGUUAUCCGGAAUGAUUGGGCGUAAAGCGUCUGUAGGUGGCUUUUCAAGUCCGCCGUCAAAUCCCAGGGCUCAACCCUGGACAGGCGGUGGAAACUACCAAGCUGGAGUGCGGUAGGGGCAGAGGGAAUUUCCGGUGGAGCGGUGAAAUGCGUUGAGAUCGGAAAGAACACCAACGGCAAAAGCACUCUGCUGGGUCGACACCAACACUGAGAGACGAAAGCUAGGGGAGCAAAUGGGAUUAGAUACCCGGGUAGUCCCUGUCUCUUAUAC
rnacentral:rRNA from 1 species